UUAAAAAAAAAAAAAAAAGGUAGAUCAAUAAUUAACAGCUUUCUCCAACAACCUACUUCUAAAAACUUGACAAAAAAUAAAUAAAUAGCCAAUCUACAAGCUGAUCAAAUCUACCAAUGAAAGACAACAAACCCAGUUUUUAUCUUUCUAAUUUUUCACCCAUGAACGAGGAAGAAAUAAGGAGAACCAAAAAACAAACUACUGCUACAGCUCUGAGCCCCUUAAUAUUUGUGGUUUUCCAGCAGGGAAAAAUCGUCAGAUAUUAAACGACACAGUUUUUUCAUCUUCCACUUUCCCGAGGAUAAUUAAAUGGUGCAGAUAAAAAAAAAGGGGCAUAAAAAAAAGCAAAAAGAAAGAAAG
rnacentral:misc_RNA from 1 species